GCUCCACAGGGGAAGACAGCAUGGUUUCCCACAGCCUUCAUGGUUAGUUCAGAGAUUUCCAGAUGGAAAUGUGAACUAGGUGUGUGUCAGGUCCAGAGGAAACUCCAUUUCCCCAAAGUCUGGUUGGUUAGACAAAAACCGGUUCUCCUCUACCAAAGGAGCCUUUUCCUUACCUCUGGAGGAAGGGACAAACGGCUACCUGUGGUGCCUAUUAGCAUACCAAAGUGCACGCUGGCCUCCACCACUCAGCACCCAGCUCCUUGCAGCUCCUCCCACAAGUUUCCCUACCCCCAGCCUUCCCUCCCUUAUUGAUCCAGCUAUUUUGACUGUGUUCUCUAUUGACCCUCUUUUGCCUUCUGUGGUCCUUUCUUUGUCUUCUUCUUUGCCCCGCCCCCUUCUUGCUUGUCUCCUGUCCAGGCCCAGGCUGCUGGCCAUGGUCAAUGUAUUACUUUCUCUGCUGGACUCUUCCAGAUGCCUCUGGCCAUUCUUUCCCUCAUGUGUACAAUACAAUCCUUCCCCUUAACCAUACCGUGGAGCAGUCCUGCUGCCAGUUUAUACGGUGUGUGAUAGAGCUGAGUCUUCCUACAUCUGAAGAUGUUAUCUCCAUCUGUUGAAUUGAACCUGAGGAGAUGCAAGGUCCCAGACAGCCAAAGUGAUGGUGUGGUGGCAUUGUUCAAUACAGGUUUACGGAUUAUCUAAAAGUUGAUAAUUGUCUCUGAAUAAUUGGUAUGAACUAGAUCCAUCCAGUCACUCAUUGACCAAGAACCAUCUGCUCACCUUGGAAGAAGGAACUAAGCAAAUGGCCUGAAAUGAAAGCUACACAGCCCUAAGCAUGAGGCUUGGGCCCUGAACUCUGUAGGUCUACUGGCUCACUCAUGGGUAGUCUGUUAUCUGUACUUGAAAAAUUUUCUAAACAAAAUAGAGGUUUUGCAUAUUUAUCUUUUAAACAUUCAGUGACUUGUCUUCUCAAGGUACACUCUAAUUCUGUACUUUUAUAAGUAACCGUAAGUUUAGGGAUAAUUUCUGAAUUUUUCAUUUUCCCCUAGGUGCACAGCAACUUUUUAAGAAUCCUGGUAAAUGUUAUUAAAUACACUUUAAGAAGUAUCUAUCAAUUGCCUAAUCAGCUAAUCAAUCUAAUCAAUUGCUUAAUCAACAAGAUAAAAGCCAAAUAGGAUCACUUAUUUUAAAUUAUUUUAAAAACUUGAGUUGGCAUUGUAUGCUUGCUAUAAUUUGAUUUUCUUUUGAUUUAGUUUAACUUGAAUUUCUUUGGUUUGGUAAGACUGUGUACUUGUUUAUAUAACCUUGUUUAUACAUCACAACGUUUGCUCAACUUUCUAUGGGGUCUAGCCAUUUAAUUCCUGAUUUGGAAAAUCUCUUUUACAUUAUAUUAUAGGGCAUCAAUGAAGAUCUAUCUCUGUGAACUAACCUGUUUCUCACUAUCAUUAAAGGUCUAUUUCUGCGACUUAUUACUUCUUAGAUGUAGUGAACUCUUGUUUAUAAAAGAACAAAAUGGGGAAGUCUGAGAUUUACAGUGGCCUAUCUGAUUUUCAAGGCUGUCUGUCAAAGUUCUAGUCUUUCAACCUCCAGUUGGUUUUUGUAAGAUGGGAUUUGAAUUUUUGUCUUUGGACAGUUUGAGGCUGGACUAGAACACCUUUCACAAGCCAACUCACCCUAAAAGCCUACAUUACAUUGUUAGUUAAGUAACAUUAUGCCACAUGUGAAAUUCUUUUCAUAAACAAUAAACAUAAGUUAUCUUCCU
rnacentral:lncRNA from 1 species